GACGAACGCUGGCGGCGUGCCUAAUACAUGCAAGUAGAACGCUGAAGGAGGAGCUUGCUUCUCUGGAUGAGUUGCGAACGGGUGAGUAACGCGUAGGUAACCUGCCUGGUAGCGGGGGAUAACUAUUGGAAACGAUAGCUAAUACCGCAUAAUAGCAGUUGUUGCAUGACAACUGUUUGAAAGGUGCAAUUGCACCACUACCAGAUGGCCCUGCGUUGUAUUAGCUAGUUGGUGGGGUAACGGCUCACCAAGGCGACGAUACAUAGCCGACCUGAGAGGGUGAUCGGCCACACUAGGACUGGGACACGGCCCAGACUCCUACGGGAGGCAGCAGUAGGGAAUCUUCGGCAAUGGACGGAAGUCUGAACGAGCAACGACGCGUGAGGGAAGAAGGUUUUCGGAUCGUAAAGAUCUGUUGUAAGAGAAGAACGAGUGUGGGAGUGGAAAGUUCACACUGUGACGGUAUCUUAACAGAAAGGGACGGCUAACUACGUG
rnacentral:rRNA from 1 species